GAGCUUGCUUCGCCAGCACAUAUUCUAAAAUUGGAAUGAUACAGAGAAGAUUAACAUGGCCUCUGAGCAAGGAGUUGGUAAAUUCUCAUCAGAAGUUAGUGAAUGUA